UGGGGAAUAUUCCGCAAUGGGCGCAAGCCUGACGGAGCGACGCCGCGUGGGGGACGAAGGCCUUCGGGUUGUAAACCUCUUUUCUGAAGGAAGAAAGUCAUAUUGGUUAACAGCUGAUAUGAUUGACGGUACUUUAGGAAUAAGCCCCGGCUAACUACGUGCCAGCAGCCGCGGUAAUACGUAGGGGGCGAGCGUUGUCCGGAAUCACUGGGCGUAAAGGGCGUGUAGGCGGCUAGAGAAGUCGCAGGUGAAAUCCCACGGCUCAACCGUGGAACUGCCUGCGAAACCAUUUAGCUUGAGGACAGGAGAGGAAAGUGGAAUUCCUGGUGUAGCGGUGAUAUGCGUAGAUAUCAGGAGGAACACCGGUGGCGAAGGCGGCUUUCUGGCCUGGUCCUGACGCUGAGGCGCGAAAGCUAGGGUAGCGAACAGG
rnacentral:rRNA from 1 species